rnacentral:rRNA from 1 species
AAUAGAUACCCUGGUAGUCCACGCCCUAAACGAUGUCGACUAGGUGUUGGGGAAGCGAUUCCUUGGUACCGUAGCUAACGCGUGAAGUCGACCGCCUGGGGAGUACGGCCGCAAGGUUAAAACUCAAAGGAAUUGACGGGGACCCGCACAAGCGGUGGAUGAUGUGGAUUAAUUCGAUGCAACGCGAACAACCUUACCUACCCUUGACAUGUCCGGAACCCUGCUGAAAGGUGGGGUGCCCGAAAGGGAAUCGGAACACAGGUGCUGCAUGGCUGUCGUCAGCUCGUGUCGUGAGAUGUUGGGUUAAGUCCCGCAACGAGCGCAACCCUUGUCCCUAGUUGCUACGCAAGGGCACUCUAGGGAGACUGCCGGUGACAAACCGGAGGAAGGUGGGGAUGACGUCAAGUCCUCAUGGCCCUUAUGGGGUAGGGCUUCACACGUCAUACAAUGGACGGUACAGAGGGUUGCCAACCCGGCGAGGGGGAGCCAAUCCCAGAAAGCCGUUCGUAGUCCGGAUUGCAGUCUGCAACUCGACUGCAUGAAGUCGGAAUCGC